AAAAUUCCUUCCCAUCCUGCCUAGAUGGCCCCAGACCACGGCUUCAGCCUGUUGGAGUUCUGCUAAAGCAGAUUCUUGUUAAGGAGCAUGAAUAAUCUUCACUGUGUCUGAUCUCCUUCACUUGCCUGCUGAAGAUCAUCCUGCAUACCCAGUGAUGUGGCAAGGAAAACAGACUGGCAGGUGGGACAAGAGCCAGGAUGAGAUUGGAAAAAAGCA